ACCUCCUCAGGCCUGGACUUCC
rnacentral:miRNA from 1 species